UUACUGAGUACAAAAUUGAAGUCUCUCCGGCUAUGUUUUGACAACCACUUCUGAACUAUCUUGAUCAACCAAUGUCAUGCAUACCUGUAUCCUAAUUGUCAAGCUGGUUCUUCAAUAUUUUUUCGCUGAAAACAAAAGAAACAAAAAUUAUCAGUUUUGUAGCUUACUCAUCACACAGCAGAUACAUAGAAAUUAUGCCUGAAUUUGAUCUAAUGCACUUCCAAUUAUUUUUCCUCAUCUU
rnacentral:lncRNA from 1 species